rnacentral:lncRNA from 1 species
AUGCUAUAAAAAGUGGUCAACAGGUCCUCUGUCCACUCAUUAAAUUUUGUACCUAUCCUAUCAUUAUACUGUACAUAUAAAAGUGAGAAUAAGAGAGAAACGUGUUCUUGCACAAUUUCCUUUGCAGUUACCGGCUCUCAAAAUAUCAAUGGACAGCAAAGUUUUUUCUUUCUUGUAUUUUAACAUGUGAAAAUAUAAAGUUCUAAAGUCGGGAUUAGUUGUUCAUGUGGCAAUUUUUUUCUUCUGCCAUUCUCAGUUCAGUAGGAAUGGGUACUGUUGAAUUUUCAGACUUUACAUCAUUUCUUCUCCGUUCUGUGCAAAUUGCUCAAAGAGAAUCCAUGUACAGAGACCAGGUCACAAAAGUUGUCAGAAGCCUCUGAUGUCGCAAGGCUUUCUUCCCAUGGUGGCAUUUUGAAGCAAUCUGUAUUUGAUUCCUCACCCAUAAAGGUUCAUGGACAUUCAUCAACUGUCAGCUCCAUGUCAUGGGAGAAUUUUAGAUUCUUGGUCUUCAACUAUGAUUUUCCUACCGAAAGCAAGACAUUCAUAGAUUACAAAGUAUCUCAGGUAUCUGUCUCUAUUUGACCAUUAUUUAUAUAUUUUUUAGCUUUAUAUUUUUUAAUUUUUUUUCAUUUGAGUGCACUUCUUUAUGGUAACCGGUGUUUGCAUAUCGUGGUUCCCUAGAAGAUACCGAACACCAUUCACUUUGAUUUAAUUCCUUUCUUUCCAAGGGGAAAUCAUUAUAUUUAGUUUGGUAAGGGCACCAAAGUGGUUAAAUAUAAAACUUUUGAACAGGCUACAACUCCAUGGAAGCAAGUUGUAUCUUGGCAUGAAAAGAAAGCAAGAACAGAAUGUGGGAAAAAAUCAUCAUUUGUGUAUUUGAACGGACAAUAAUAUGUUUUUUCGGAAGCUUGGUUGUUAAACUCCAGAUCGAAAUCCUACAACUCUACAAUCUCAAAUGACAAACGAUCCAAUCCUAUUUUAGGAUCUUAAAAUUAUAGAAUCUUGCUAUGCCAAAUGUUGUAUUUUAACAAUUUAGUGAUUCUAACUAUCCUAAUGAUCUUCCAUCUUUUUAUCAAUAUAGACUUUUUAGCUUUACUUUAGUAUAUUAAAAUUGUUGAAUCUUAGUUUGGAAGACGUGUUAAAGGUAUGAAGGAGAAAGUUCCGUAAUAAGAAUAGCAAGCUUAUAUAAGACCUUAUUCUGGGUUGCAUCAUAUGGUGUGUGUGGAGAGAAAGAAAUAACUUCUGCUUUGAUAAUCAAGCAGACAACAGAGUAGAUUAGAGAAUUGUUUUAUUUGACGUUGUAUAAUUGGUUUAACGCUACAACUCCUUGGCAUAUAGACGAGUUGCCCAAUUUCAUGUUGUUUCUUUCAUAUUUAAAUUGAUAAUACACUCUUGUGUAUUAUCUAUUGAUUAAUAAAAUACUUGAUUACUUUAAAAAAAAAAAAAUGGGUAUGCCACAUUCACCCUUUUUCUUUUUCGAGAUGAUAUGCAUCCAUCUACUCGAGAUCACUCCUCUUGGCUUUGAAAGGCUUUCUAGAAAUCUGGCGUAACGUUGGAAAAUUUACAUACCUUUUAGUGGUUUCAUGCUUUGACAGAUUGGGGAAGUCAUAAAGUAACAUCGCAGUUAGAUAUUGGAAAGAGACAUUUCGCUUCUUUGUUUGGUCUACUUAAAUCAUCCUGAAGUAAUAAAGCUGCUUCAGCAAUCAGUGAUUCCUUUAAUUUUCUUCCAAUUUUCGUAUACAUUAUUAAAUCACUGGCGACUCCCUAAUUAUUUUGAUUGCAUAUUUGGAGUGCAGAAAACAUUUUAAAGAUGAAGUGAAGAGGCAAAUACAAUUCUUUCUUGUUUAUUACUGAAAAAAGGUUCUGCAUUCAGGGUAACCAGUGUUAAAGUCAAAAUCUUCGCCUUUUGGUGAGUCAUUGCAGAGGAGAACCUAUUCAGCAGAAGAUUCUGAAUUUACAAGAAAAAUGCACAUUGUAGACUCUGAAGCAUUGAUCAAUAUGGAGAAAGAUGAUCUAAUAGGCAUACCGAGGAGGAUCCAUGGGAAUUUUUCUUUUCAAACUACUGAAGGAUCAACGUACAUUAGGUACAAGACCUAGCACUUCUGGUCCCAAACGGCAAGUUAUUCAACUAAACAUACCUGGGAAAACAGAUCUGAAUCUUUGCAGCUGGAUGGUGGAGUAAGAAGAUUCAAACCUCUGAAGACUGGAUGACUGGUAUAGACCCAUUCUAGAGUUAGAUUUUUUGUUUUUUGUCCCUUUUUUUUUUUUUUUUUUUGUGGCUGUGGGAUUAGAAUCUGGAAGUGGCAAAGCUGAUCAAAAUUCUAGCAAACUAAAGGAGGUCCCUGAUUGUUUCCAGUCGGCUGUUGAAUAUGUAGAAAUUUUUCGACCAUUGGCACUAGAAGAAUUCAAAGCACAAUUGUGGAGUUCCUUCCGAGAAACGGCUUCAGUAGAAGAAAUGUGUUGUGGAAGCCUAUCUGUGCUUUCAAGGGAGAGAAUUGAUGAUCUUCACUUUGUUCGUGUAGUCUAUACCUGAAACAAGUCAGAUAUAUCUAAAUUAUGCGAGAAAAUUUAAUGAGUAGUCGCUAAACUUUACUAUAGGUUACGUCUUGCUCAUCGAUAUUUAAAAAGUUACUCGUUGCUCAUUUAAUUUUACUGUAAAUUACUACUUACUCAUCAAAAUUUAAAAGAAUAAUCAUUGCUCAUCUAAAUUUAAUAAAGUUAUUCGUUGCUCACUGAACUUUGCAAUAUGUAACACUUACGGUAAUAAUAUAGGUGAUUGAUGGGUAACUUUGUUCAAAUUUAGGUGAGCAAUAAGCAACCUUUUAAAAUUUGGGCAACAAGUGGUAACUUAUAGCAAAGUUUAGUAAAGAUAACACUUUAAAUUUCGGUGAACAAGUAGUAACCUAUAGUAAAGUUCAAUAACCAUUGAUUAAAGUAACUCAAAUUAUGCUUGGAAAACAAUCUCAUUUUGCUGAAAAGGCAUCCACUAAAAAAUGCUUUCCUUCACGUUCACAUUGUCGUAAAGGUAUAUCUAUAUAUAUUCUAUAUUUGCAAAUACUUGGCUUCUUGAGUAUAUUUUCACAUAUUCCUGUGAUUAUCUAUUUCACAGAGGGGAAUCAAGGUAUGGUAUAGUUAUUUUACUGAUUUGUGGGCAUAAAAAAUACCUUUUCAAUUCAGAGGUUAAAUUUGAAUGUUGAUAGACUCCAAGUUAUUUUGUAUCUCUUGAGGAAACCGAAAUUUUCUGUUUAUUUUGUUGUUAAAUGUUCUUUUUUUCACGGUUGAUGAAAUAUAUUAUAUUAGUCAUUUAAUUCCUACAUUUUGUGUUUUAACUAGUUUGGAAAAUGUAAUUUGUAGUGUUAUAAAGCAGUCUUGUUAAGUUGUGAUUGAAGCCUAUACGUGGAUGAAUUCUUAAGUUGAGCAAUUACCUUUCAAAAAAAAUAAAAAAAUAAUAAUAAUAAUAAAUAAAUAAAUUCUUAAGUUGACCAAUUAGUCUAACAUUUUCUUUUUGCAUAUUGCUGAUGAUGUGUGCUUGUGCUUAGGUGAACUGGCUUGAGAAGGGUAAUAAAAGAAGAUUGAGCCAUACCAGUUCUGGAAUCAACAAGCUGGAAUGCUGGGCUGUAUCUGAAGUGAAGAGGAGAAAGAGAAUUCAGAACAAACUUUUAUUCUUCAGAUCUGAGAGCAAUUCCAGCCCAAGUCCGGAUAAGAAUGCACUGAAUAAGUAACAAAAAUCACUCCCAUUUACUGCUCUGGCUGUGUAUGGAUUUGAGUUCUCUCCUCCUCUCUCUCUCUCCAUCUCUCCAUAUGUAUGUGUUUAUGUAUGUAUUUGUGGUUUUGAAUUGGAAUCAGAGCUGGGAUUGCUGUAAGAAUUAAUCUCCUUGUAUAGGGAGAUUGUACAGGAAGCAUUGUAGGGAAACAAGUAGCAACACUGCAUUGGCCGGAACAAAAUUAUUUUUUGUCCAAGCUCCAAUGAAUGGUUGCCACUUGUCUCCCUGUAAUGUAUCUGUACAAUCUUCUUGUACAUGUACCCUAAUUGUUAAGUAAUUCAUUUUUACGUCCGAGCCCAUUACUGCUCUGACGCGUGGUGGUUCUGAGAGUGGUUUGGACUCUGGGCCACCAGCCAAUUUCUCCGAUGACGUGCCUCUUAUGGCGCUUUUCUCUUACGCUCAUAUAUAUUCAAUGUGACUAGCUUUCGCUAGUAUAAGUUCAGUGUUUUUCUUUUCCGUUCGUAUAAGUUUAAGAUUUUUUACAAGGAAAAAUUAGACCCUGGGUUCUAACCUUUAUUCUGUGAAUAUUUGUGUCCCCAACUAUAUAUGCACUAACUUUAGAUCAUUCUUUUCAUACUUGUUUCACACAUCAACUUGGUUGAAGUGGUAGAUUGGCAAGUUUCGGUGGCCAAUAGGUUAUUGUCGGUUCAGAAAUCUAAUAUGAUAAAUGUUGUGUUUAGAAGACACAGGGAAUAAAACGUUGAGGGAUAGCUCAAUGGUCAGGCCUUGGGUUUGCUCCCUAAUGAUCACCGGUUCGAGUUCCCUCGGGGUCACUGAGGUGAGUACCUGACUGUAAACUUCAGGGACUCGUGAGAUUAGUCGAGGUGCACCUAAGUUGGCCUGAAUAUCCAUGGUCAUAUAAAAAAAAAAAAAAAAAGACAUAAGGAAUAAUAUAUUAGGCUUAAAAGUUGAGGCGUGUUAUGAGUUAAAACUAAAUGUGAUAAGAUGUAGUAUAGCAUAGAAUUACAAUGAAAACAAAUAGUUUUCUCAAGUAUGUCAUAGUUAUAGACUUGAUUUUAUUUGAUAAGUCACAAACAAUUUUAUGAACAUCAACUUGUUAGUAGUAUUUGAACCGCUUAUAAUUUUUAUAUUGGUUGAAAGUUCAAUCCUUCCAACAGAUAAAAUGCAUUUUGAACCUUACUAGAGAAUUUUUAAUUAGAUUUUGGCCGACUUUUCAAAAAAGCUGCCCCUAUUAGGACUAAAAUUGAUGAGUUGGCUGUUAUUUGAUUGGUUAUAGUGGUCUUUGACUUUGACCAACUAUUUGCAGAUUGGAUUUUUGAGAAAUUGGGACUCACUUGUAAACCAGGUCAUUUUGAAGAAAAAGUGCCUUUUUAAUGCGUGUGAUUAUGUUCACACUAUAUUUAUUUUUGUUGCAUCACAUUUUAAUUACAAUGAAGACCCAACUUUUGCUUAUUGUGGCACUUAUAUCCCCUUUAGACAGUGUUGUCAAGCUAUUGCAAAUUUAUUGUGAUGAUUUCGCUGUAAUUUUCUUCUUUAAGAACAAGUAUUUUGGAGGCAUAAAACAUAUGGAUUUGAAAUACUUGGCCGUUAAAGUUCAGAUACAAGUGUCAAUUGAACAUGUAAGCACUAAAGAUAUGAUUGUAGACCCAUUAACGAAAGGUUGGCACCAAAGAUAUUAACGAACAUGUUGAAAGAAUGGGUAAUAAAUGUAAUUGUUAACGAUUAACAUAUAUUUUGACACUCGAAGCUUACUUGUGUGUUUCUGAUAAUUCAUGUUUUGUUAUUCUAUAUAUGAAUGAUUUAUAGGAAGAAUACUAUUAAAGACAUUGUCGUUUGACCAUAGUGAAACUUCUUUACUUAUGGAUAAUGUUAAGUUAAUAAUUAGUGAAGUGGUUCUUGGGAGGAACAAUGUCUAAUUAAUGACGUACAACCGCCAUACUCAUUAGAUUUUAGCUAGCUUAUGAUGUGCAUCGUGUCCAAAUUAAUAAGAAUGUGCAAGUUUUGUUCAUUAAACCAUAUUAAGGAUUAUAUUAUGAGCCAAGACGGAUAAUAUAAGGAUGUGAUUUGUGAAGAUAAACUUUAAUGAAAUUAUAUAUUUAAUCUUUUAAUGAUGCAAAAUGAAUUCUUUAUAAUCGAUAUAUCUUAUGCAUGGUUACAAAUAAAUAAGUCUACAUGUAAGAUGAAUUAAAUGAAGGUUGUAAAGAACCACUUAUGCAUUGAUGUAAGGUAAUUCAUGAAUGCAUGUGAUGGAUGUGUAUUCAGAAUGUCCUCUCUCCACCCUUUAAAGUUGUACCGAUUUCCAUCAUUAUAUGGUACGUAUUAAAGAGAGCGUAAGAGAGAGAAAUAUGUUCAUGCACAGUUGCUUUGCAGAUACCUACUUUCAAAAUAUCAAUGGAAAACAAAGGUACAUUUUGUUAAUAUAAUGAUUUUCUUCUUCUGCCUAUCUCAGUUAAAUAGGACUCAGUUCAGUUGAACUUUCAGACUUUACAUCAUUUCUUCUUUGUUCUGCGCAAAUUGUUUUAGAAGGGUAUCCAUGUACCGAGAUCGGGUCAAAAAGUUUGUCAGAGGCCUCUGAUGCUGCAAGGUUUUCUUCCCAUGGUGGCAUUUUGAAGCAACCUGUAUUUGAUUCUUCAACCACAAAAUUUCAUGGACAUUCAUCAACUGUCGGCUCCACGUCUUGGGAGAAGUUUAGCUGCUUAUUAUCUGAAAUUGCAUGGCCUUCAAUUCCGAAGUUCCUAGCGAAAGGCCACAUUCAUACAUUACAAAUAAUCUCAGGUCUCUGUCUCUAUUUGACCAUAAGUUAUAUAUUUUUUCUUUUUAAUUUGUUUCAUUUGAGUGCACUUCUUUAGUGUAGUCGGAUUUUGCAUAUCGUGGCUCCCCAGGAGAUACCAAAAACCAUUAUCUUUGUUUUAAUUCGUUACUUUCCAAGGGGAAAUCAUUAUAUUUAGCUUGGUAAGGGCACCAAAGUGGUUAAAUAUAAAACUUUUGAACAGGCUACAAAUUUCUGGAAGCAAGUUGUAUCUUGGCAUGAAAAGGAAGCGAGAAUAGACUGCCAAAAGUACAAAAAAUUUAUGUUAAUGUAUUUAAACAGGCAAUAUUAUGCUCCUUUGGAAGCUUGGUUGUAAAACUCGGGAUCGAAAUACCAUGAUUCCAUGAUCUCAAAUGACAAAACGAUCAAAUCCUGUUGUAAGAUUUUAAAGUUGUAGAAUCUUACUCUGCCAUUGUUGAAUUUUAACUAUUUAGUGAUUCUAACUAUCCUAACCAUCCUCCAUAUUUUUAUCAAUAUAGACUUUUUAGCUUUACUUUUAAUAAAUUAAAAAGAAUGGAUUGUUAUUAAGUUAGGUAUAGUUUCAUUUUGAAUUAAGACUCAGAAAGAGAGAGAGAGAGAGAGAGAGAGAGAGAGAGAGAGAACAAUAGAAUUUCUUAUCUUGAAAAUGUUAUCCUUUAUUUUUUUCGCCUUUUGUGGAAAUCAACGGUGACAUUCCUUCAAUAGUGAUAUUUUUUUAAUCUUUGUCUUUGUUUCUUUUGUUUCUUUAGCUCUUGUUUGGCCCCAUUAUAAUGAGAUUUUGGGAAAAUAUAUUUUAGGAUAGUAAUUUUUUAAAGAAUUCAUGGUUAAAAAAGAAUAAAAGGUUUUGGAUUUACGUAUAAUACUAUUUUAUUGAAAAAUGUGUGGUCGAUAAGAAGAUGGAGAAAAAUAAAUUAUAAUUUUAAUGUGGGCCAAACUAAGGCUUAGUCACUUUUAAAACAGCUCAUUUGUAAUUUGCUUUUAAUCUAUAUGUUUUUUUUUGUUUUUUUUUUUCGUGUGUUGAAUUUCUAAUUGAUUUGUUGAAAAUAAAUCGUAGAAGUGGACUUGAUUUUAUAGGUUCAUAAUGUAAUGAUUGUUCAUAUAAUUUAUGGUUGGGUAUAAUUUUGGUAAAUAUCCACGGUGAUUGGUGUUCAUGAUUUGUCAUACAAAUAUUAAUUGUAAUUAAAAAAAAUGAUCUUAAAAAAUUGAAAAUAAAGGGUACUUUGAUUUCGGGUACUUGUUUAACAUUUAAAUGAAAUUUUUAUUUGACUUCUUUUGCAUUUUCAUAAAUCAAUUGUGUACCUUUAUAAAGUAUUUGUGACCUUGGUUUUAUAGUUUAAUUUUAGUUAGUUAUGGUUAUUUGUUUGUUAUUAAGAAUAUUUAACAUUUAUCUAUGUUUCAAAAUAUUGUUGUUAAGAACAACCGCCACCACCCAACCCCAUACCCACCAAACCACCACCCAUUCACCAUCGACCCUUGAUGAUGUCGGCGACGAAAAUAUCGUGUCGCCCGGCAAACCGUUGGAGACCGGCCUCAUGCCAAUAAUACAGCCGUACACUCAAGCAGUGGCCCUAGGUGGUAACCCUAGCACCGCUGCUCAAACAGUCAAUCCGACUGGUGGCAAGACUAUUUGGGAUGGUACGGCGGCUAUGGGAGAUGGCGAAAUUGGUGGAAGAAACACUAUUACGGAUAGUGAAGUGAAUUGGACUGUAGCCCUAACUUAGAUUCGGCCGGUUCCAGCCACUUCCCAGGCAAACGCGUCUGACCGGUGGGCUGUGCAAGUGAUUUCGGUCAGGGAGGCAGGGCGGCGAGAUGCACGCGUCGUCGAAACGGUGCGUGGAGGACACGCGCCGUUACCGAAAAACCUGGAAAUUCUCUAGAAUGCUCCCUGACCACCUACGAUGCCUAUUCCAUCGUCAAAUGUGCCAUUUAUACACAAUCAGGGGAGAAAGUUAAUGGAUGGAGACGGCAUGGUAUUCAACUAUCGUUUUCGAGUGGAGGCGAAGAGUUUGCAAUUUUUGUUAACAAUCUCGAUGUUGUUAGGAUGAUCGAGUGGGGCUCGAAGUUAUGGGGUGAGUUUGUGGAAGUAUAUCCGACGAGGAUGGAAUGACUUUCGAGAGAAAUUGACUUAUAUGAUGGGAAAUGGCUAUAGUAUCAGAUUUUGGGAUGAUUGUUGGUGUGAAGAUUAUCUGCUAAAGGCACGGUUUCUUUCGUUGCAUCGCAUUGCCUUGGAGCCUACCGCUAUGGUGAAUGAUGUCCUAGCCAUACAUAAUGGAAAUUAUAGCUGGAAUAUUACCUUUGAGAGGGGUUUGCAGGAUUGGGAACUGGAUGAUUAUGCACUGUUUUUGACCUCCUUGCACGAGAUGCAUAUUCAGGUGGGAGAGGAUGAUAGGAGCAGAUGGAAGCUGGCGCGGGAUAGUAUUUUCUCAGUUUGCACUUAUUUUAGAUCUAUAUUGGAUCGAUAGAGAGUUCAUUUCCUUGAAAGAUGGUGUGGUAAUGUAAAAUGCCCCACAGGUAGCUUUCUUGUUACGGACGAUUGUGAGGGGGUAGACAUUAACGGUGGAUAAUCUUCGUAGAAAAGGUUUUUACGUUAUCGAAUGAUGUUAUAUGUGCAAGAGAGACGGAGAAACGAAUGACCAUUUGUUUCUCCAUUGUGAAGGUGUCCGGUGGUUGUGGAACAUUAUUCUAGCUUCCCAACAUAUGGAUUGGGUGAUGCCUAGGCAUAUGGAGGAUGUGUUGUGGGCAUGGAGGAGAAAAUUCCGAGAUAAGGAUAGUAGGCUUGCGUGAAACCUUAUUUCGGAAUGCAUUGUAUGGUGUGUAUGGAGAGAAAGGAACAACCGUUGUUUCGAAGACCAAGCAAGAACAAUAGAGCAAAUUAGAGAAUGGUUCUAUAUUACUUUAUAUACUUGGUUUAAGGCUGCAGCCACAAAUUAUGUAGAAUGGCUACCAAACCUUAUGUCGUUUCUUUCCUAUUUAAAUUGAUAAUACACUCCCCAUGUAUUAUCUAUUAAUAAAAUUACUUGAUUACUUAUAAAAAUAAAAAAAAAUAUUGUUGUUAAGAACAUGUGACAUUUAUCUAUGUUUUAAUACAUAUUUAAUAAGAAUCUCACAAUCAUCUAUUCGAUCCGACCAUCUGAUCCACAAGACCUCUUCACCGAUCCGAUCUAAAAUUUCUAUUGUGACAACCUUGUUUGGAAGUCUCUACAUGUUACGAUAUCUCAAAAGUAUGAUUUUUAUAUAUUUAGUAGAGAAAGUAGUGUAUCUUCUCAACCCUAAGGGUAGUUCAGUGGUCAAGUUUGGAUUUGCUUUCCAAUGGUCACCAGUUCGAGUUUCAUCAGAGUCAUUGAGGUGAGUACCUGGCUAUAAACUUUAGGGCUCGUGGGAUUAGUCGAGGUGCGCGUAAGUUAGUCCGGACACCCACGGUCAUAAAAAAAAAAGGAAAAGAAAAGUAGUGUAUUCUCUCUUGGCAUCUACCUAUAAUGAAAGAAAAAAAUUACUUGUUGGCUAGUUUGUACACAAAGUUUCCUUCCUUCUCUUUGGAUGGAUCUCUUAGAGUAAUCACUUCGGUUUAGUUUCUAUCCCAUGUGGAAGUGUCUUCCGUAAUUUAUAUUUUCUUCAGAAGACCCCUCGGCUGCUCAGAUCCAAAAUUAAGUUCUUGACAACCUUGUUUGGAGUGACAAGAAUUGGCUCAAUGAUUCUUACCGGCAUGUAUUGCUUUCCUUUAUAGACUAUUACAAAGAAAAUUAAGGAAAGAAGUUUGCUAUACAAAAUUAACGUCCCUAAUUUUAUCGCAGCUACCAAUUCUAUAAAAGUUAUACACAGAAACCCCUAAUUAGCUAUAAAUGAUGUAAUACCCCCCUUAAUUUGAUGUUGGUGAGUCCACAAGCAUCAAUUUACCUACAAGAAAAUCAUGAUAGAGGCUAGGCAAGGAUUUGGUGAAGAUAUCAAUGAUUUGUUGAGUAGUGGAAAUGUCGGGAAGAGUUAUGACCCUAGAAUCAUAGGCAUCUGGGAUGUCGCAUUUUGAAUAGCGCUAGUGUUGCCACCAUGGAGAGGUGUAGGCUGUGAUUGGGGAACUCCAAGUUCUACUAGAAGGCUUUGCAACCACACAAUCUCUGCAUUCAGUCUCAGUGGAGGACUUAGAAACACAAUCCUAUUUCAUACAUUACUAAGAAAUAAGAACAUUACCUAGAAAGAUACACCACCCAGUUGUAGAUCGACGAAAAUCAAGACAGUCAGCCCAAUCAGCAUCACUAUAGACAGUGAACUCAAGGGACGUCCCCUUAGGAAAGAAUAGACCACGAUGAGAGUCCCAAUAAGAUAUCUAAUAAUGUGGCGGACAGCCACCAAAUGAAGAUGACAAGGAGCAUCCAUAAAUUUGUUACGGUAUGUACUGCGAAGGAAAUAUCUGGACGCGUGAUGGUGAGAUAGAUCGGAAUCUCCUCCAACCUCCAAUUUAGAGUAAGUUUUGGAAGAAUAUCGACUUUAUCUUUUAGGUAUUUGACAUUAACUUCCAACGGAGUAUCAACUGAGAAGGCUUCAGAUGAAUUAGCCAACCUAAUCAAGUCUUUAAUAUACUCAUAUUGAUUCAAGAAGAUGCCAUGUGGUGCUGAAUUAACCUCCAAAUCAAGAAUAUAAGUGAGACGACCAAAGUUUUUCAUAAGAAAAACAAAGUAAAGACGUUGGAGCUUCUGAAUAAGUAUGUCAUCAGAGCCAGAGAUAAUAAUAUCAUCCACAAACAUCAACAAGAGAACAAUGCUAGUAGUACUCUUGUGAAGGAACACAGAUGCGUUCUACUGACUGUGGGUAAAGGAAAAAUCCAAGAGAGUGCAGCGGAGCUUGUCAAACCAUGCUCGAGGGACUUGCUUGAAACCAUAAAAAAAUCGUUUUAGUUUACAUAUAGAGUCGAGGGAAUACGCAUACCUGAUGGAAGUUUAAUACGAACGUCUUCUUUGAGGUCUCCAUGUAAGAAUGCAUUCUUUACAUUUAUUUGAUGCAAAGACCAAGACCUAGAGGUGGCAAGUGAUAACAAGAGAUGAAUGGUGGUCAUUUUAGCCAACGAAGCAAAUGUCUCAUCAAAGUAUGGAUUUCAUAUGGUUAGAAGAAAAAGUGGCGUGUCUUCUCUCUUGGGCAUCUAACUAUAAGAAAAGAACAAAAAAUUACUUGUUUGUCUAUUUCCAAAAGGAAGUUUCCUCCCACUUCUUAGGGUCAGUCUCUUCUGACAGUGAGACUUUUAUCUUUAGAGUAAUUGAUUUGCCUAAGUUUCUAUCAUAAGUGAAAUUGCCUGCUUGUUAAUUAUGUUUUCUUCCCAUUGUUAAGAGACUCUCCUUCUUGAACUGAGAAUGUAGCUGAUAGCAUCAUUAUAAUUUUCCUCUUCGACAUGUUCACUCUUUUUCCUUUUCAAGAUGACGUGCAUCCGUCUGCUUGGUAUCGCUCCUCUUUUCUUUGAAAGGCUUUCUAGAAAUUGUGGCAUGAUAUUGGAAAAUGUAGAUACCAUUAAGUUGUUUUAUGAUUUGACAGAUUGGGGAAAGUCAUCAACUUGGCUCUUUUGCUUGGUCUAAAAACAUUCUGCAGUAAUAAAACUGCUUCAACAAUCGGUGACCAUUAACUUUUUUUCCGCCAAUUUUCAUAUACAUUAUAAAAUGUUAUUGGUGACUAAUUAUUUUGAUUGCUUACUUGGACUGCAGAAAACUUCUUAAAGAUGAAGUGAAUAAGCAAAUAGCAAUCCUUUCUGGUUUAUUAUGGGAGAAAAGUUCUGGCAUUCGGGAUGACCAGUAUAAAGUCAAAAUCUUCACCUUUUGAUGAGUCGUUGCAGACGAGAAAGCUUUUAACAGAAGAUUCUGUUUUUUUUCUUGAUGGAACAAAAAUGCACAUUGUAGACUUCGAAGCAUUGAUCAAUAUGGAGAAAGGUGACCUUGAGGAGGAUCCAUGGGAAUUCUCUUUUAAAAAAUGCACAUUGUAUAGUCUUCAGUGGUUUCUAGAAAUUUUAAGGACUGAAAUGAAUUUUUUUGUGAAAAAUUAAGACCCAUAAUUUAUGGUCUUGAAAAUAUUGUAAUGAUGACUCGUAAUGAGAAAUUGGGUUUAGGUUUAAGACUGGAGGUUGGAGCCUAAAUGCAGUAAGUGUAAAGUUAAGAAGCUAAAUUGUAGAUAUUGAGAAAUAUAUUAUUAGAUGAGAAAGUAAAGAAUAAGAUUAAAUAGAGACGAUAAUGAUCAUUGAAUGCUAAGGAUUCAUAUUGGGCCUCUUUUCAUAAUCUUGAAAUGUUCAUCGACUAAAAUGAAAAUACAUUUUGG